UACAGAGGUGGCAAGCGUUGUUCGGAAUUACUGGGCGUAAAGGGCGCGUAGGCGGCCUUCUAAGUCAGACGUGAAAUCCCCCGGCUUAACCUGGGAACUGCGUCUGAUACUGGAAGGCUUGAGUGCGGGAGAGGGAUGUGGAAUUCCAGGUGUAGCGGUGAAAUGCGUAGAUAUCGGGAGGAACACCAGUGGCGAAGGCGACUACCUGGCCUGUUCUUGACGCUGAGGCGCGAAAGCUAGGGGAGCAAACGGG
rnacentral:rRNA from 1 species